AUGCUGUGUCUGAAGAUUGUUAAAGUCGUGACCCAGACAGCCCUCCGCAUUCUCCUACCAGCGCUAGCUCGUAUCAUGGGGGUGAACCUGAGGAGUGGGGCAACCUCCCCAGAAUCCCAGUGCUCUCUGACAGGGUCUGAGGAUUCCUUAGGCGGUCUGGAUGAGAGAGAGAAAAGGCUGCUGAUCAGUGAGAUGAACUACUGGACUAAGGAGAGGAGGAGGAAUGGCAGUGCAGGAUGCCGCCAAAAAUCCACUCGCAGGACCUCAUCACCAUGCUGUUCGCCUAAGAGGUCCCAGACCUCAUUGCAGAGCUUGCCUGCAACUAGAGAGGCUCCCCUCAUGGAGGAGCCUCUGAAGGCUCUUUUUGGGGUAACGGAAGAGAGCCUUCUGAUAUCCCUGGUUGAGGGUCACUCCAACCCCACCUCCUCCAGCUCCUCCGAGUUGAGCUGUGCUAUCGUGGGGGAGGUGGUACACCAGCUUAACUCUGGCCUCUCAGUGGCCAUUCAGGCCAGCCCGGGGAGUUGCCCCCCUAUGGACAGUCAGGACAUAGCAGCAGGCAAGGAGGUCAUUCGGGUAGCCUCGGUUCAGAUCCUGGCCGAGCUACAGAGCCAAACAUCUGAGCCAGAGUGGGUAGGGUUUAUCGAGCCCCUCAUGGACCCUGUGACCGAUGAUGUGCUGGAGGCCAUUGUCGGCACAAUGGACAAAAUGGCACAGGACUUCAACAUCCUAUUGGAUCUGGCCAAGAAGAUGACAAUCUUGGGGUCUAAAUUUCUGACCAAUCUUCAAUGUGACCUAGAUGUUGAGUGUCCAUCUGGGAAGGAAGGGACCACUCACUUUCUCAAAGAGACUGGAUCCUCUACCAGUGUGGUGGCCAGAAAGAUUCAGACCCUCUCUAGCCCCGACUUUCAGUCUAAAGCCCUGAAGGCGGUGAGCACCAUCCUUACAAGGAAAGUCAGCAGCUCUUCUGGCAUGGUUCCUUCCUCUAGGCCUUCUAGUGCUGCUCCUAGCCUUACUGAAGCCCCGCCGAAUACCAGCUGCACAGCCCUGACAUCUGUAACCUCCACUGCCACAGUGAUUGUUAAGGCAUUUGUGGGAGGCAUGGAGACGAUAGCAUCAUUUGAAGACACAUGUGAAGCAGUUGAUUGGCCAGUUCCUGUAAAUGACCACAAAACAGGGUCUUCACAGAAGAGAACCUUCUCUCUAGCCGGCACACUCUAUGGCCGUAUACGAGCAAAGCUGAGGGACCUUUUAACUCUAGCCGCUCGAGAAGAAGGUGUGGCUAAGGAUGCUUCUCUUCGGGAGUCUUCAGACACCCUGGAAAAGGCAACUGUUUCAACUGUUGAGGUCCAGUUACCCAGCACCGAACACAGUAGAGUUCCCAGAGAGAGCCAACCAAUACCAGCUCUCUGUCUCUCCAAUCUGGAUACCAGUACUCAAGAAGUUCUUAGCAGUGUUUUUUCCAUCUACAAGUCAGAGUUAUCAAAAGUGGAGAAUAAAUCCUUAACCGUUGUCAGUUCAUCUGAUGAGUCCCUAGAGGCUUGUUGGUUUGUUGAUGGUGUCCUAUCAAAGCUUGAUGACUAUACUAUUUCCCAGUCACCCUCACCCAAUGAAGACUUGAGCGUGAGUACUCAAUAUUCUCAACUGAGCUCAGAAGAGAGUGUCAGAAUCACAGAGUCCUCAACUAGUCUGAUUCAGAGCAUUAAGAAGCUCUCUAGCAAUGACUUUCAGACUCAGGCAGAAGAGGCAGUGAGUAAAGUGCUGAUGAGAUCCAGUCAUUCCUUUAUCACACAGAUCAGCCAUACUGGUCUUCAGAAAAGUCUGCAGGCUGGCUUAUCAUCUAGCUCACCAUCAGAGAUCCAUGUCCUUUCAGAAUCCAUGUCCUCCAUGUCCUCUGAGAAUACAGCCUCUGGAUUAGUGGAAACCUUUGUCAAAGGAAUGGCGACUAUUUUCCAGAAAAAUGAGUCCACUGACACUGUGCUACUGGAAAGAAGUGGGAGAGUUUCACAGUGCUCCCACGGGGGCUCCCAACUGGAUGAUACUGAAUUGAGUGUUAAAAUAUCAGAGGAGAAGCUUUGGUCAACAGCUAAGAACAUCUGCGUCAGUAUGAAGAACACACUUAAGGAUUUCUUCACAGGGCUGAAGCCAUCCGGAUCCGAAAGGACAGAAAUGGCUUCUUCCAAAGAGACCCUUGGGGAAAUCCUGGUUGCUAUCCAGAGUGAAAUCUCAAACUUCGGGCGAAUGAAGGAUUCCAGGGAGCUCCUUCAGAUCAAUGAUAUGGUAGGAACUAUGCUGAAGGAGAUUGAGAAAAGUGAGGAUGACAGUGAACAAGUCUGCCAAGACAUCCCUCGAACCUGUUCAUCUUUAUCCACUUCUUUAAAUGGUCGUAGUUCCUUGUCCAGCUCUUCAAAGGGUCCUAGGUCAGAGUGUGAGUUAGAGAUCAACCUCCCUGGCACUCCCAUCCCUGACGAAGUGCCUUUUGAUCUGACCUGCCCCAUCGUCAGGAGCUCCUGCAUCGACACCAGGGACUCUAAAAUGCCAGAGAUUUCUACAAGUGACCUAAAGACAAAGAUGAUGGCACACACAGAUGAACCCCUGCAUUGUAACAGUCCAAUGACUGACAGCAGCCGACCACCGAGUGCUAAAGUCUCUUUUCGAUCCUCAACUCCGUCUUUCACCAGCAAGGGAACCUCUUUGGUACCAAAGGGAGAGGGUAUUGACAUUGAAGAGAAGGAGGUGUGUAUCCCCAGCAGCUCUGGCCAUCUGAGGGAGCUCUUAAUCAUCCCGGACAUCAGCAGUGCCACUACAUUCCCACUGCAGUACUUGAUGGACUCCAGCAAAGAUGAUGGCAUCUGUUUUGUCACCAUACUGGUGAUAAGGUUGCUAUCGGAGAUCAGACCCUCAGCCCUAGAUGGACCCUCCCAACAGGCAGCAGAUCUGACAGAAACAUCUCAGCAACUCAUCAGACAAGUCCUGUCUGAGUUCUGUGCUGUAUCUAGAUUAUCCAGGACACAGGCAUAUUCCCAGAACCUGAACAUCCAAAGGGUGUUCAGAGGUGUACAUAAAAACCUCAUGGAGGAGUUUGGCUCUUAUAACACCCUGCAAGCUGCUAUGUCCUCCCAAGACCCUGCAUUUGACAGAGUCCUGGUAAAGUCCUUGACCCAGCAGCUGGUACAGGGAUGCAAGGAGGCGUCAAGACCAGCUUCUGCUGCAACAAACCCAUCAGACCAGGCUGAGACGGAGAGGGGGGCUGAGCAGAAAGCAAGAAGGAGCUUCCUUUGCUUUUCAAUGACCAAACUCAGGAUCAACUUCAAGGUAUAG
rnacentral:lncRNA from 1 species